UACGUAGGUGGCAAGCGUUGUCCGGAUUUAUUGGGUUUAAAGGGUGCGUAGGCGGUUGAUUAAGUCAGUUGUGAAAUACGGCAGCUUAACUGUCGAGGUGCAAUUGAUACUGGUUGACUUGAGUACAGACGAGGUAGGCGGAAUUGACGGUGUAGCGGUGAAAUGCAUAGAUAUCGUAAGGAAGACCAGUGGCGAAGGCGGGUCUCUGGACAGUUCCUGACGCUGAGGCACGAAGGUCAGGGGAGCAAACGGG
rnacentral:rRNA from 1 species